GGAGCAUGUGGUUUAUUUCGAUGCAACGCGAAGAACUUUACCUGGCCUUGACAUCCACGGAAUUUGGCAGAGAUGCCUUAGUGCCUUCGGGAACCGUGAGACAGGUGCUGCAUGGCUGUCGUCAGCUCGUGUUGUGAAAUGUUGGGUUAAGUCCCGCAACGAGCGCAACCCUUAUCCUUUGUUGCCAGCGAUACGGUCGGGAACUCAAAGGAGACUGCCGGUGAUAAACCGGAGGAAGGUGGGGAUGACGUCAAGUCAUCAUGGCCCUUACGGCCAGGGCUACACACGUGCUACAAUGGCGCAUACAAAGAGAAGCGACCUCGCGAGAGCAAGCGGACCUCAUAAAUGCGUCGUAGUCCGGAUCGGAGUCUGCAACUCGACUCCGUGAAGUCGGAAUCGCUAGUAAUCGUAGAUCAGAAUGCUACGGUGAAUACGUUCCCGGGCCUUGUACACACCGCCCGUCACACCAUGGGAGUGGGUUGCAAAAGAAGUAGGUAGCUUAACCUUCGGGAGGGCGCUUACCACUUUGUGAUUCAUGACUGGGGUGAAGUCGUAACAAGGUAACCAAGGGCGAAUUCUG
rnacentral:rRNA from 1 species